GAAGAAGGCUUAGAUAUGACACAGAGAAGUACAGUUAUUCCCUGGCGGAUUGUAGAUGACUGUGGUGGUGCCUUUACAAUGGGAGCCAUAGGUGGUGGCAUCUUCCAAGCUGUUAAAGGGUUCAGAAAUUCUCCAGUGGGUGUAAACCACCGGCUGCGGGGAAGCUUGACAGCUAUUAAAACCAGAGCGCCUCAAUUGGGAGGGAGCUUUGCAGUCUGGGGUGGUCUCUUCUCCAUGAUUGACUGCAGUAUGGUGCAGGUGAGGGGUAAAGAAGAUCCAUGGAACUCUAUCACAAGUGGUGCCUUAACUGGAGCCAUAUUAGCUUCAAGAAAUGGACCAGUUGCCAUGGUUGGGUCUGCUGCAAUGGGAGGAAUUCUUCUAGCUUUAAUUGAAGGAGCUGGUAUCCUAUUGACAAGAUUUGCAUCCACACAAUUUCCAAAUGGUCUGCAGAACAGAUUUCCCAGAAUAGAAAAAUCAUGUCACAAAUGGUGUUUUGCCUCUCUCCUCUGAUGCCAUUGGCUAAUUUCAACAAGUAUCAAACAAUGCAGAUGAAGUUGGUAGAUAUUAAAAUGAUACAGAACAAAUGCCAUAUUGGGUAAUAUAGCUCACAUACAACCAUUUCUGUAUCUUGUAAGAAGAGUGUAACAUGGUAGCUGUUACAGGCUUUUUGCAUAACUGGUAAACAUCAAUAUGAUUCUUGAAAGCGAAAAUUGACUCAGCAAUUUUAGUUCUUACUACUGUACUGCUUUUGGUGCUGUUAUUUUGCCUGUGUUUGAGUGAGUUCACACUCUGCCAGCUGCUGGGAGAAGUUGCUGUGUGGCAAAAAGCCAACUGACAAACAGAAUUGCUAAAGUGGGAGCAGCUCAGAGGCCAGAAUUAAAAGCUAUUUCCAAAUUCUGUAGUUUGGGUGGGAGGUGAAGAGUCUCCAUUAUGCUCAGGAAAGAGCUGACAGGGUUAGAUGUGUUUUUCUUCUGUUGACAUGCAUAUCGGGGACUUUAACAUCGGGGGUGUAAAGGCACAAUGGUAAAGUGCUGCAUUUUAAGUAGGACCCAGAUCAACUCUGGGAAUCCUAAGAGGGGAGAAGGGGCUAAGGCAGUGCUUCCCAACCUUUUCCUCAGCAUGACCCCAUUUAAGCAUUGGAAAUGUUUUGUGACCCCAAAAUGAUACAGACAAGAUCAACACCCCUCCCUAUUCCUCACAGCAAGCCAGAGCGGAGCCCAUGGGUAGGGGAUAGGGAGAAGCAGCUCAGGGCUCCCUGCCCUGCUGCCUUCCCCCUGGGGGUCUCCGAGGCCCACUGGGUGGGAGGGCAGCAGGGUAAGGAGCCCUGAGACUGCAGCAGGCAGCCUGUACCCCACACAUCUGGGGGGCAUGCUCCCCCAUGCCUCCCUCCCUUGGGAGUGUGCGUGCAUAGCCUUCCCCCUACUCCUUUUGGAGGAGCUGCCCAUGGCUCCAUCCUGCUGUCCCAGCCCUUCCCCUCCUUCCUCCCUCUCACACUGUGGGGCCUCAAUCUGCCCCUGCCCCCCCAUAAACUUGCCUGGAGGUAGCUGUAGGAGCUGCUCUCCAUGCUGCCAGGCUGCCGUAUGCAUGUGUGCACGCAGACAUGCAUGUGGCACCUCCUUCCAGAUCAUCCUCUUCCCAGGCAGCCCCUUGCAGGCUGGAAUUCUGCCAGCCUGCAAGGGGAACCCACCAUUUCCCGCUUUUUUUCUGUGAUUUUCAUCAUCAUCAUCAACACUGUUGAGUGUCUUUGCAAACCCAUUUUUUAUUAUUGCAAGCCCAAAUCGGGUUGUGACUCCAAGGUUGGGACCUGCUGACCUAAGCUGUUCAUUCCAGGAGUCAGUGCUGACGUGCAUGGUUUUACUAGGUCAGAUAUCCCAAUUUAGUUUUCCUGCCAGCAGCCCAGAAAGGAGUUGUACUUCUUUGGUGGUAAAAAAUGUAAAUGUUUAGUUAACAAGAAGCCAUGUACACUUCCAAGAACAUGAAGACUUAAGAGUCAGAACGCAAGUGCUACUGAGCAGUGGUUUUCUUUUUCUGUUCUGUCACUUCAGACAUUUAAGCUUUGGCCUGACACAGGCAGCAGUUUGUUCUGAAGUCUAAAGACCAUCUUUCAUACUAAGCAGAUGUAGAAAUAACCAUUUUAGGUUAAGUUUUGGGAAUAGCAUGUGAUGGUCCCUAAUCUCGGUUUCAGUGAUUUAUAGAAAAUCAGAUUGCAUGCCAAAAUUGAAUAAUGUAUGAUUGCAUGCCAACAUUUAUCCGAUUGCGUUUCAACAUUAAAUAACAUAUGAAGAUUCCUACUUUAUGCCUGAUGCACGCCUAUGAUGUAUUUGACCUGUAUUUUUGUAUUUGCAUCACUUUUCAGAGGAAGAAUAAUCUGUUUGUUUUAAAACAGAGGUACUAGUAAUCAAGGAACAUUGCCUUCAUUAACAUUUCCUCUUGACAUUAUCUCUGUCUGCCUCAUCUGUAAAUGAGGAUAAUUUUUAUAAUAUUGCAAGGCCAAUUAACUAUAUAUACAGAAAGGACCUUACGGUUUUGUAACUAUGCUAGUUAGAGACUGCCCCCUUUUUAAUGCAGGUCUGAGACGCUGGUUCACCAUAUCUGAAACCAACUUGCAUGGAAUAGCUGCUCUAAACUUGGUUUGGAUCUGUGCAAAACAUGCUUAAUUAUCUGGCUGCUGUCCUUGGAAGCUAACCAUGCACUGGCCUUACCUGCGGCUCAGGAUAACUCGUGGUUGUAACACUGUUCUGCUGUGUAAAUGGAAUUUUUCAUCUGUGCUUUUUACUGUUUAGGCCCUCAGUUUUCAGAUGAUGCUUCCCAAUUAUCACCUUCCCCAUUUGGUGACUACAGGCAAUAUCAGUGAUUACCAUUACUCUGUUUCAUGUUAUACACUCGAGCUAUAAUUAUAAAUACUGGAAGAUCAAGAUACAAUUUAACACCUUCAAUUGGAAAUAUGUGGCAGAUCUCUUUGUACAAACCAUGGCAAGAGGACACUUGGCACUUUUUCACUGUAAAGAUGAACAGAGAAGCUUUAGAAGAUCAUAAAUGUAUUUAUUCAUAUAAGUUCAUUGUUAUAAUGCUGAUACAUUGCUGAUACGAGACAUCAAGGUUUAAGACAAGAACCAAGCAGAAUACUAUAAUGCUUUGGAUAAGGAACUAGAUGAAUUUUGCUGUGGUCUUUUCUGAAAUGUGGUAUUAACCAUUACUGUAGUCAUCAACAAUAAAAACAUCUGACAUUUAA